GGUUGGCAACCGAUCUGUUUCUUCUUCACUUCCUUCUUCGCUCUCUGCAUCUCUCUCUCUGCAUUUUCCCUUCAAAGUUCAGACCAACCAUGGAGGUUGUUGGAGAGCUUCUUCUUUCUGCCGCCUUUCAAGUGCUGUUUGAUAAGUUGGCCUCCUGUGAUUUCCUCACCUUUGCCCGCCAAGAACACAUUCAUGCUCAACUCAACAAGUGGGAGACCCAACUCUUCAAUAUUCGUGAAGUGCUCAACGACGCCGAGGAUAAGCAGAUUGCAAGUUCCUCUGUCAAACUCUGGCUUGCUGACCUCAGGAUCUUGGCCUAUGACAUGGAGGACAUCCUCGACGAGUUCAACACCGAAAUGCUGCGACGCAAGCUGGCAGUGCAACCUCAGGCCGCCGCCGCCGCUACCACGAGCAAGGUAUGGAGUCUCAUCCCUACUUACUGUACUAGUUUCACUCCCAGUCAUGUUACUUUUAAUGUUAGCAUGGGGCCCAAGAUCAAGGAUAUCACCAGCCGCUUGGAAGAUAUUUCCACUCGCAAAGCCCAACUGGGUUUGGAAAAGGUUGCAGGAACAACAAAUACUACUUGGAAAAGAACACCCACCACAUCUGUGUUUAAUGAACCACAAGUUCAUGGCAGAGACGAUGACAAAAACAAGAUCGUAGAUUUGCUGCUCAGCGAUGAAUCUGCUGUUGUCCCCAUCGUCGGUAUGGGCGGGUUGGGUAAAACCACAUUAGCCAGACUUGCUUAUAACGAUGAUGCGGUGGUGAAGCAUUUUAGUCCAAGAGCAUGGGUUUGUGUGUCUGUUGAGUCUGAUGUGGAGAAAAUAACAAAGGCUAUUCUCAGCGACAUCUCUCCCCAGAGCAACGAUUCCAAAAAUUUCAAUCGACUCCAAGUUGAAUUAAGCCAAUCAUUAGCUGGAAAAAGGUUCUUGCUUGUCCUGGAUGAUGUUUGGAACAGGAACUAUGAAGAUUGGAAUAACUUGCGAUCCCCUUUCAGGGGAGGGGCUAAAGGAAGUAAAGUCAUAGUAACCACACGUGAUCGAGGAGUGGCAUUAAUAAUGCAACCAUCUGAUAACUACCACCACUCUCUUGAGCCUUUAUCAGACGAUGACUGCUGGUCAAUAUUUGUACAACAUGCAUUUGAAAACAGAGACAUCCAAAAACAUCCCAAUUUAAAAUCAAUAGGCAAGAAGAUUGUGGAAAAGUGCGAUGGUUUGCCGUUAGCAGCAAAGGUGCUUGGUGGUCUCUUACGCUCCAAACAGCGAGACGAUGAAUGGCAGCGUAUAUUGAAUAGCAAAAUUUGGAGUUUAUCAGAUACCGAAUGUGACAUCAUUCCUGCAUUACGGUUGAGUUAUCAUCAUCUUCCAGCGCAACUAAAAAGAUGCUUUGUUUAUUGCGCAACAUUUCCUCAAGACUAUGAAUUUAGGGAAACUGAGCUAGUUUUGUUAUGGAUGGCAGAGGGAUUAAUUCAACCAUUGGAAGGAAAUAAGCAAAUGGAAGAUUUAGGUGCUGAGUACUUUCGUGAAUUGGUGUCAAGGUCAUUUUUCCAACAGUCUAGAAAUGGUGGAUCACAAUUCGUCAUGCACGACCUCAUUAGUGAACUUGCUCAAUCAGUUGCUGGACAACUAUGUUUCAAUUUGGAGGAUAAUAAGAACCAUACCAUUUCAAGAGACACUCGCCAUGUGUCAUACAAUCGUUGUCUUUUUGAGAUCUUUAAAAAAUUUGAAGCUCUCAAGGAAGUGGAGAAGUUACGAACAUUUAUAGGGUUACCAAUUUAUGGUAUACCUUAUUGGUGUAGCUUAACUAGUGAGGUGUUUAGUUGCUUGUUCCCCAAACUAAGAUAUUUAAGAGUGCUAUCUUUGAGUCAGUAUGGCAUAAAAGAGUUACCAAACUCAAUCGGAGAUUUAAAGCAUUUACGAUAUCUUAAUUUGUCCAGAACUGAUAUUGAAAGGCUACCAGAAUGGAUAAGUCAGCUCUAUAAUUUACAAGCACUAAUAUUGUGUCAAUGUGAUUCUCUUAGAAUGUUACCUAUGAGCAUCGGGAAUUUGGUUAAUCUUCGACAUCUGGAUAUUACCGAUACAAGGAAGUUAAAAAAGAUGCCUCCGCACUUGGGUAACUUGGUAAAUUUGCAAACGCUAUCAAAGUUUAUCGUGGAGAAAAAUAAUAGCUCAUCAAGUAUAAACGAAUUGAAGAAGUUGUCGAAUAUUGGAGGGACACUUUCCAUUUUAGGGUUGCAUAAUGUGGUGGAUGCUCAAGAUGCAAUGGAUGCGGAUUUGAAGGGGAAGCAUAACAUUAAAGAUUUAACAAUGGAAUGGGGCAAUGAUUUUGAUGAUACUCGCGAUGAACAGAAUGAAAUGCAAGUUUUGGAGUUGCUUCAACCCCAUAAAAAUCUGGAAAAGCUCGCCAUCUCAUGCUAUGGUGGAGGAAUAUUCCCAAGUUGGAUGAGGAACCCUUCAUUCUCACUGAUGGUGCAGUUGUGUCUCACAGAUUGCACAAACUGCACACUGUUACCAUCUCUUCGGCAAUUGUCCUCGCUCAAAAACUUGUGCAUUGGAGGAAUGAGUGGAAUAAAAAGUAUAGGUGUUGAGUUUUACGGGCAGAAUGUGGAGUCUUUUCAAUCGUUGGAGUCUCUAACCUUUUCGGAUAUGCCAGAGUGGGAAGAAUGGCGUUCUCCCAGUUUCAUUGAUGAAGAAAGAUUAUUUCCUCGCCUCCGUGAGCUUAUGAUGACGCUAUGUCCAAAGUUGAUUCCUCCGCUUCCAAAAGUUUUAUCUCUCCAUGAAUUAAAAUUAAUAGCAUGUAACGAAGUAGUGUUGGGCAGAAUUGCAGUUGAUUUCAACUCCCUUGCAGCGUUAGAAAUUGGAGAUUGCGAAGAGGUGAGAUGGUUGAGAUUAGAAAAGCUCGGCAGGCUGAAGCGUUUAAAGGUGUGUGGAUGUGAUGGACUCGUAUCCUUGGAGGAGUCAGCUCUACCAUGCAGUCUUGAAUAUCUGGAAAUAGAAGGGUGUAAAAAUCUUGAGAAGCUGCCAAAUGAAUUGCAAAGUCUCAGGUCAGCAACUGAAUUAGAAAUCCGAGGGUGUCCGAAGCUUAUGAACAUUCUGGAGAAAGGGCGGCCGCCCAUGCUAAAGAAACUUAGAGUGGAUAAUUGUGAGGGUAUCAAGGCACUACCAGGUGAUUGGAUGAUGAUGAGGAUGGAUGGUGACAACACCAACUCCUCAUGUGUCCUUGAAAGAGUGGAAAUUAGGAGGUGUCCAUCUCUCCUUUUCUUUCCAAAAGGUGAAUUACCCACCUCACUUAAACAACUGAUAAUUGAAAAUUGUGAAAAUGUCAAGUCCCUACCGGAGGGUAUUAUGCGCAAUUGCAAUCUCGAGGAGUUGAAUAUCAAGGGAUGUUCAUCUCUCCUUUUCUUUCCAAAAGGUGAAUUACCCACCUCACUUAAACGAUUUAUAAUUGAAGAUUGUGAAAAUGUCAAGUCCCUACCGGAGGGUAUUAUGCGCAAUUGCAAUCUCGAGCAGUUGAAUAUCUGGGGAUGUUCAUCUCUGACCUCAUUUCCAAGUGGUGAGUUACCCUUCACCCUUAAGAAACUCGUCAUUUCGAAUUGUGGGAAUCUGGAAUUGCUGCCGGAUCACAUGCCCAACCUCACAUUCCUUUCCAUUCACGGAUGUAAGGGUCUCAAACAUCAUCACUUCCAAAACCUCACUUCUCUUAAAUGGCUGUAUAUAAGUCGAUGUCCGAAUCUAGAGUCAUUUCCGGAACGGGGUUUGGGUCUCUCCCCCAACUUGAGAGCUGUUCGCAUUAUCGAUUGUGAGAAUCUGAAGACGCCUCUGUCAGAGUGGGGACUCAAUUGGCUCCUCUCUCUCAAAGAACUCAUCAUUGCUCCAGGUGGAUAUCAAAAUGUGGUUUCAUUUUCACAUGGUCAUGAUGACUACCACCUUCGUCUUCCUACAUCUCUCACCUAUCUACAAAUUGAAAAUUUCCAGAAUCUGGAAUCCAUGGCCUCUCUGCCUCUCCCGACCCUCAUCUCCCUUAAAGAUCUGUAUAUCUUGGAUUGUCCAAAGCUCCAGCAGUUUUUGCCAAAGGAAGGGCUGCCAGCAACACUCGAACGACUUGAGAUCCGGGGUUGUCCUAUCAUAGAAAAGAGGUGCUUAAAGGGCAGAGGAGAAGAUUGGCCCCACGUUGCCCACAUCCCCUACAUUUAUAUAGGCCACAAUUGAGACCUUCACUCAAUUUUCUCUCUGCAAAACAAAUGAGAGCAGACGUUAUUCAACCAGGUCUGUCCAAUUGAAUUUGGACUUCAUGUUGGAGACUCUAAGUUUGGAGUGAAUCUUGUGUGGGCACUUGCUAUUUCUCGAUUGUUUUUCUUCUUUACAAAGCAAUGUUUACACUGCGAUGAGUGAAUCAAGGGUAACCCAGUGAGAACAAGAAAGAGUUGUUGCAGUAGCCUUAUGCUGCUGAUGCUAUAGUUUACCAUCGAACCUAAGAAGUCUUGUGCUAAGUGAUUGUAUUUGAAGGAACCACCUACUGGAAUGAUUUUGUUUCUGGGAUUUGAUGGAAGCUGAUGACUAUUUAUUUAUUGUUCACACUUUUGUGAAUAUCCAAAAAGUCACAUCUUGGCCAUUGAUAUGAUUUUGACUCUGUUUGCUCUGUUUUGAAUACUUGAGAAGGCCACAUAGCAACAAUAGUUAUCCUAAAUACCGACAGAUUAAGUUCUGUUCACUUUUGAUGUUGCUUGCGAGAGUUGAGUUACAAUUGAAUUUUGAAAAUCUUCAAGAUUUUGGUUGCAAGUAAAUAGACUUGUUUUAAGGGAAGUUAUAUGUUACAAAUCGGUACCUUAAAGUGUUUCACAGUCGAGUCUUUAGCAAUGGGAAGUUUAAUUAGGUGCCUCCGUAGACUCUUGCAUCUUAUUGAACCCCAUAUCUGAUGACAAGUACAUGUAGAAGUAGAGCCAUCCAUUCCCUCUCUUGUAUGUAAUCAGGUAUAUUAUUGGCAAUGUACAACUCUUACCUUUUUCAAUAUUAAACUAAUACAUCAGUACAUGUAGGAUUUGCAGAAGGAAAUAAUCUCCUAACAAAAACAUAAUUGUUAAUAACUCAUGUACAUGGUGUGUUUUUCAAUUUGGCUAAUAAAAUGACAUUGUUACUUCCUAAUUCAAUUUCAUUUAAGCUUCAGUCCUUUUUAUGCAGUUUGCUGGCUGGUACAAGUUAGUAGGUUCAAGGACUCUAAAGGAUCUCCCAAGUUCGCAGCUCUCUUGAAGUGUUAUAGGUUGAGAAGGAUCCUAGGCUAACAUUCCUUAAUUUGUAGAGGAAGGCCAAAUGACAAUCUUAAAUAUAGGUGCUUUCAAGAGAAAGGAGAAGAUUGUAGUGAUGAUGACCACAUCUGACCACAUCCCCUAUGUAUGCAUUGAGAAUCCUAGUUUCUCUUCAUGGAAGUCUAAGCAGAGAUGAUCUCACAACAUAUAAUUCUUACCUUAUUGGGUAUGAAACUUGCCACUUCUUUCAUAUUCAUUGAAUCCCCUACUGUACAUGAAAGUUGAAAAAGAGGAAAAAGUGGAACCCAGGGCAUCUUUUUCACUUUUGUGUUGAAUCUUGGGCAAUAUUUGUUUAUUGGAAAUAUAUAUUAAUUUAUGUUUCAUCCUGCCAAUAUCUUAUGUAUCCCCUACAAGGAAAUUGAUGGCGUCCUUGAUGAUAAAGUUUAUUUAUUUAUUUUUUUCUAAUUUUGAAAUUUAUCUGCUUGCAUUUGAUAAUAAGGAAUGCUUUCUAAUUGACUUUGUCUUGUUUGUUAAUAUUGCAAGAAACCUAUCUUAUUUUAUUAUCAAAAUUGAGAAAGAUUUUUCCACCGACUUGAAAAUGUGGCUUGCAGAAAGGGAGAAUGAAAAGGAGAAAAAUAGGAAGGUCGAAGAAGUUCAAAAUUUCCUAACCAUGGGCUCAAGAAGUUAUUCCAGAGAGACAAGUUCACCUUGUUCUGAGGGUGCCUCCACAGCCUUUUACAUCUAACUGAAACUCCUAUCGGUGAGAAGCACAAGUAGAACUGUCCAUUCUCACCUUAGAUUCAAGCAGGCCAUGACUGGAGUGAAGCCAUAUAUAUGCGGUAAUGGAUGAGGGAUGGAAUACAAUGUAGUGGAAUCUUGCUGAUUUUACCAGAAGAGCAUAUGGAGCUGACUAUGUUGAGACAUCGUGAGUUCAGGUUCAUGCAAAUUGCCUGCUGAGAAGGAUUUAUUUCUCUGACCCCCUUUGCUUCAAAGAACUCCCAUCAGAAUUCGAACUGUAUCUCCCAAUCAAGAAAGAAUGAUGGGGUUUGUGGCACAGUAAGCUAAGGGACUUGGGCUGCCCAUGUUUUCAGAGCACAGAAUCUUCAAAAUUCAGAAUGUGUUUCUUCACCAAGGGAUGACAUUUGAUCCUGCUGAGAUGAACACCAUCGUUUCCACUUGCUUGAGACUUGUUUAAAAUAUUACCAUUUUAGGAUUUCAUGAAGUGAAUAUAUCUUAUUUCGUCAAGCCCAUUUUGUGGGUGGAAUGGGGAUUUCAUGAUUUGAGUAUUUGUAUAGCUUAGCUUGGUGAUCACUGAUCCAAUGGUAUAAAUAAAGUCUGUCUUGGUAGUUUUAGAGCAAA